rnacentral:rRNA from 1 species
GAUGAACGCUAGCUACAGGCUUAACACAUGCAAGUCGCGGGGCAGCAUGGGGGUUGCUUGCACUCCCCGAUGGCGACCGGCGCACGGGUGAGUAACGCGUAUCCAACCUGCCCUUCACCACGGGAUAACCCGGCGAAAGUCGGACUAAUACCGUAUGUUGUCCAUUUACGGCCUCCGAUUUGGACGAAAGGUUUGGCGGUGAAGGAUGGGGAUGCGUCCGAUUAGCUGGACGGCGGGGUGACGGCCCACCGGGGCGACGAUCGGUAGGGGUUCUGAGAGGAAGGUCCCCCACACUGGAACUGAGACACGGUCCAGACUCCUACGGGAGGCAGCAGUGAGGAAUAUUGGUCAAUGGGCGUAAGCCUGAACCAGCCAAGUAGCGUGCAGGAUGACGGCCCUAUGGGUUGUAAACUGCUUUUAGGCGGGGAGAAAGUGGCCCACGUGUGGGUUUUUGCAGGUACCGCAUGAAUAAGGACCGGCUAAUUCCGUG